UUCAACUGAAAAGUGUGAUGGGCCUA
rnacentral:piRNA from 1 species